GAAAUUAGAAUUGCAUGAACAAGUCUAGUAAGGAUUGUUGAGUCAGUGAUAUGAUUUUCUUGACAUGAAUUGAAUCUUUAUCUGUUUGACACUGAUAUUAUAGGAAAGCACUUUGAAAAAUGACCAUGUUGGCUAUGAUAGUUUAAAUGGUUAGAUAAUAGAGUUCUAAAGGAUGUUUGCUAGUGAAAUGAAAGGACAAUUUGAAUAGCUAGAGAAGACUGAAUUUAUACAUAAACUCGAGUUUUGGGGAAAAUAUUUGGAAUAUAUAAGCUAAAAAAAAAGAAAAAAAAACGUAUACAUGGUGACUAGUCUUGUUUCAGGGCCUUUGGUACUUGAGCAAGUACGCCCGAGGGGAUUGUCUUUACACCUAGCGCCCUAAGGUCUUUCAUGGUCUGAGAGUUGUUGGUCGAAAGCUCGCUAAGGGGUAACACUGUUAUCCUAAUGGGAUGAGACAUAGCACAGUCAUUUAUGUAUAUUUAGAAAAAAAAAAAAGCGGGAAAAGUGCAAAAAGCCCCCGUUAUAAAAAAAAAAGAGAAGAAAAGCAUAAGUAUUCCAUUUUGACUCUUGAAUUAGGGUGAUUGUUGAUUUCAGUUGAACAAGUAUAUUUGAUGAGUUCUCAAGUGUACACUAUAUGAUGCUUAUUAAGAAAUUUAUUAUCAUUCAUAUUUUUGCCUUUCAUGGGUUAGCAUGGUUGUUGAACGCACACUCACAAUAUCAGUAAUAACAGAUUCAGAUUCAUUGAUUGCUGGGAUAUUGUCGAUCUGCUUUAACAUGAUGUAUUAGCAUGUUUUUGUGAUUUUUCUGAGGCCUAUGGAUAUACGUGAGCUAUUGGAUUGCUGGAAUUAAGAACAUAUAAAUAGUUUGCAUUUGCAUGGUAGUUAAUUUUUGUGUUGUGUUGUGUUUGUUGCUUGAGGAAAUGCAACGAUUUAAGUUUGGGGGUAUUUGAUGACUGGGUAAUAUACCCAUAAAUCGGAUAUACUUGGGUUUAAAUUUUUUUAUCUUCGAGUCAUUUAGGAAUAUUUUUACUGUGUUUAUGUGUUAUAUUGCAGAUUUGGAAGCUGUUGGAACACUUGGAGGAAAAUAAGCUUAAAAUGGGC
rnacentral:lncRNA from 1 species